rnacentral:rRNA from 1 species
GCAUAUCAAUAAGCGGAGGAAAAGAAACCAACAGGGAUUGCCCUAGUAACGGCGAGUGAAGCGGCAACAGCUCAAAUUUGAAAUCUGGCUUCGGCCCGAGUUGUAAUUUGCAGAGGAAGCUUUAGGCGCGGCACCUUCUGAGUCCCCUGGAACGGGGCGCCAUAGAGGGUGAGAGCCCCGUAUAGUUGGAUGCCUAGCCUGUGUAAAGCUCCUUCGACGAGUCGAGUAGUUUGGGAAUGCUGCUCAAAAUGGGAGGUAAAUUUCUUCUAAAGCUAAAUACCGGCCAGAGACCGAUAGCGCACAAGUAGAGUGAUCGAAAGAUGAAAAGCACUUUGAAAAGAGGGUUAAACAGCACGUGAAAUUGUUGAAAGGGAAGCGCUUGUGACCAGACUUGCGCCAGGCUGAUCAUCCGGUGUUCUCACCGGUGCACUCGGCCCGGCACAGGCCAGCAUCGGUUCUCGCGGGGGGAUAAAGGUCUCGGGAACGUAGCUCCUCCGGGAGUGUUAUAGCCCGGGGCGUAAUGCCCUCGCGGGGACCGAGGUUCGCGCAUCUGCAAGGAUGCUGGCGUAAUGGUCAUCAGCGACCCGUCUUGAAACACGGACCAAGGAGUCAAGGUUUUGCGCGAGUGUUUGGGUGUCAAACCCGCACGCGUAAUGAAAGUGAACGUAGGUGAGAGCUUCGGCGCAUCAUCGACCGAUCCUGAUGUUUUCGGAUGGAUUUGAGUAGGAGCGUUAAGCCUUGGACCCGAAAGAUGGUGAACUAUGCUUGGAUAGGGUGAAGCCAGAGGAAACUCUGGUGGAGGCUCGCAGCGGUUCUGACGUG